AGUGAACGCUGGCGGUAGGCCUAACACGUGCAAGUCGAACGGCAGCACAGUAAGAGCUUGCUCUUACGGGUGGCGAGUGGCGGACGGGUGAGGAAUACAUCGGAAUCUACUUUUUCGUGGGGGAUAACGUAGGGAAACUUACGCUAAUACCGCAUACGACCUACGGGUGAAAGCAGGGGAUCUUCGGACCUUGCGCGAUUGAAUGAGCCGAUGUCGGAUUAGCUAGUUGGCGGGGUAAAGGCCCACCAAGGCGACGAUCCGUAGCUGGUCUGAGAGGAUGAUCAGCCACACUGGAACUGAGACACGGUCCAGACUCCUACGGGAGGCAGCAGUGGGGAAUAUUGGACAAUGGGCGCAAGCCUGAUCCAGCCAUACCGCGUGGGUGAAGAAGGCCUUCGGGUUGUAAAGCCCUUUUGUUGGGAAAGAAAAGCAGCAGGUUAAUACCCCGCUGUUCUGACGGUACCCAAAGAAUAAGCACCGCCUAACUUCGUG
rnacentral:rRNA from 1 species